AUGACAUCAGCUUCCUCAUUACCAACUUCCACACAGAACAGAUGUAUAAACACAAGCUGGUGGACUUUGUUAUUCAUUUCAUGGAAGAGAUCGAUAAGGAGAUCAGUGAGAUGAAGCUGUCGGUCAACGCUCGCGUCCGAAUUGUUGCAGAGGAAUUCCUCAAGAAUUUCUGAGGAUCCUUGUCUUCAUUCCUAAUACCCAUCAGAGAUUGGUGUUGCUUCAGUUCUUGCGGACAAAAACAUUCAAAGUUUUUUAAAGUCUCCACAGAGCAAAGGGGAAAGAGUUUAGUAUUUAGCAAUCAAGCAAGAAGAUCUACAGGAACAACCGGCCAGUCCUGCAGCACUAUACACAGUCCCCUUUGCCUCCUGUUCAAGGUGCUCCUCGUGCCCAUGGAUAUUAUACAUUUAGUCAAGAAUUUAUUACUCUCAUUCUCUGUUUUUAGGGGGAAAAAAGAAAACACAGUCAAGGCAGGUCCUUAAUAGUAUUACCUGUAAUUAAUAUUGAUGGGCACAGGAAUCUUGUUGUUGGACUGUAUUUGUUUUCUGUUGUCUUUUAUAUACAUGUGCUUAAUUUUGUUAUAACGGAGGAAAAAUAAUCAAGUAAAUGUAAAAGAGAUGAUGAGAGAAAAAAAAAUAAGAAAAUGUGUUUAUAUUUUGGCACUGCUAACUCCAAUAUGAUGAUAACUAUACAAAAAAGCUGCAUAAAACAUACUACCAAUAAAUUCAAUAAAAAUAUAGUGUGCUUUCGGUA